rnacentral:rRNA from 1 species
AUGAUAAGCAAUAUAACAGAUUGCUUCAAUAAGGUGCUCAAGGGUGUACAUGCAUCACCCGUGACGGCAAUAGUUCAAUACACAUUUGACAAGAUGAAUGGAUACUUUUUGAAGUAUUCAAUGGAGAAGGAUAAGCAGAUUGCUGGUGAGAACAAGGAUAAGCACAAGUACUAUUUCCCAUCAAAGGUUGAAGAAUGGUUGGACUUUCAAUCACGAAAGGCAGACUCCCAAGAAGCUGUACUAUAUGACGACAACGAGUGGAAGUAUGAGGUGAAAGAGCCUGGAGGAACCACAAACGAUGGUCACCAACACGGAGGCCGCGCUUUCAAGGUCUCCCUAACACGGUGUGAUUGCAACUGCAUGAGGCCAUCGUUGCUUCAUCUCCCAUGCUCGCACUUGUUAAAUGCAGCCCGUGUUAGGAAUGUGAAUGUCAAUUACCCUCUUACCGUGAGGGAGUCCGAGUUCUCAAUCAUGACGGUAAAGAAUACAUGGGCUCCACAGUUUCAGCCCAAGAGCUAG